rnacentral:rRNA from 1 species
UACGGGGGGGGCAAGCGUUGUUCGGAAUUACUGGGCGUAAAGGGCUCGUAGGUGGUCAACUAAGUCGGACGUGAAAUCCCUCGGCUUAACCGGGGAACUGCGUCCGAUACUGGAUGACUUGAGUUCGGGAGAGGGAUGCGGAAUUCCAGGUGUAGCGGUGAAAUGCGUAGAGCUCGGGAAGAACAUCGGUGGCGAAAGCGCUCUACUGGACGACAACUGACACUCAGGGACGAAAGCUAGGGGAGCGAAUGGG